GGGCCCUGGCUUCACCCGGAGGUCAGGGCCCCAAGGGACCUGUGACUGCUCCUCGCUUUCUGGAAAAGCAUCCUAUUGAAUUCCUUGCUUUUACGUUCUUAGGUCAGGAAUGCUGACUUUUCUAAGUGGAAAGCUGCUCGGCCGCAAUAUAAAAAUCAACUCCAAGGAAAAUACAAGGCCUAAAGACUAUGUCAUGUGCAAAUUACAGAACAACAUUGUAAAGCCUCUUCCUGUUUCAUUUGGACUCGUUUAAAACGCCAUACUUUAAGAUAGCAGUAGAACGACUUGAUUCAGAUAGCAACAUGUAAGAGCUGUGGAGACAUCUUUUACUGUUGAGUGCAGUCCCAACUGUUUACUGCCAGCAGAUUUAAAAUAGCCAAUCACUCCGAUGAACGGCAUUAUAAAUGUGCACUGCACUUGGCUGGGUACACUUCUGUAUUUGGAGGUUGCAGAAAACAAAUA